AAGGGCACCACAAGAACGCGUGGAGCAUGUGGCUUAAUUUGACUCAACGCGCGAAAUCUUACCGGGUCCGGACACACUGAGGAUUGACAGGCAAUAUUAAUACAUAUUUUAUUUUUCGGAAUAAAUUUAUGUAUUAUGUUAAAUAUGCUAGUCCUUUCAUGAUUAUGUGAUAGGUGGUGCAUGGCCGUUCUUAGUUCGUGGAGUGAUCUGUCUGCUUAAUUGCGUUUCACUAAGGGCCUAUAAAUUUACGUGUGUUGCGGCACUUUGACCCCUCUGUUACUUCGUAGCAGAGCGCGCGUCUUAGUUUGCUUUGCUCGCACAAUUAGGUCCUGAAAGCAACGAACGUGACCGCAACCUCUUGUUGCCUUUAUACCAAACAUGUUUAUUAAUAAUUGUUUUUUAUUAAAUUUUUAUUGGUAUUCAUGAAAAAAGGCUUUUUAAACUAGAGGGACCGCUGUUACUUUCUUAAACCAGAGGAAGGUUGCGGCAAUAACAGGUCUGUGAUGCCCUUAGAUGUUCCGGGCUGCACACGUGCUACAAUGAUUAUUGCAGUGAGCAUCUCAUUUUUACACCCCGCAUGCGCGAGUCCAUUUAUUCUAUCUUUCGGGAUUGUUUUAAAUGUGUAUCUCUGCGCGCGGUAAAGCCUGCUUCGAAAGUAAGUGGGUAAUCAAUUAGAAGUAAUGAUUUCCUUUUUUUAGCACACAUAUAUACGGCGUUUAUGCCCGGGCUGCCUUGUUGUAGCUUUUGUGCGUAUAGAUGUUUUUUCCGUAUGUGCGAUUGUCAAUUCAUGGUGGGGACAGACCAUUGUUAAUUGUUGGUCUCGGUCUUAACUAGGAAUGCCUUGUACGGGUCUUUGGUUCAACAAACCACCCGGAAUACGUCCCUGCCCUUUGUACACACCGCCCGUCGCUCUUACCGAUGGACUUCUCUGUGAGUUUGAGGGACUGGGAACGCAAUGAAAUUUAUUUCUAUGCACACCUAUGGAAACUUAAACGAACAGUGUGGUCUAAAGGAAAGAGAAGUCGUAACAAGGCAUCGGUAGGUGAACCUGCAGAAGGAUCA
rnacentral:rRNA from 1 species